rnacentral:rRNA from 1 species
GCCCAGACUCCUACGGGAGGCAGCAGUAGGGAAUUUUGCGCAAUGGGCGAAAGCCUGACGCAGCAACGCCGCGUGAUCGAGACGCCCUUCGGGGUGUAAAGAUCUGUCAGUGGGGACGAAACUUGACGGUACCCACAGAGGAAGCCCCGGCUAACUACGUGCCAGCAGCCGCGGUAAUACGUAGGGGGCAAGCGUUAUCCGGAUUUACUGGGUGUAAAGGGAGCGUAGGCGGCGAUGCAAGUCAGAAGUGAAAGCCCGGGGCUCAACUCCGGGACUGCUUUUGAAACUGUGUUGCUAGAUUGCAGGAGAGGUAAGUGGAAUUCCUAGUGUAGCGGUGAAAUGCGUAGAUAUUAGGAGGAACACCAGUGGCGAAGGCGGCUUACUGGACUGUAAAUGACGCUGAGGCUCGAAAGCGUGGGGAGCAAACAGGAUUAGAUACCCGAGUA